rnacentral:misc_RNA from 1 species
CACUGUCGCACUUUGAGCUUCUCCGUGUGUGUGUGUUUCUCGCGUCUGUGUUCGCAGCAGAAAGCCGCUCCCACCCCAGUGCUGCAUCGUCUCACCCGCUCCGACCUCCGGUCCCUCUCUCGCUCGCCCCUUCCUGCCCCCCCCUCCCAUAAGGCGCCUUGCACACACGCGAUCAUCGCACUAAGAGAGAGAGGGAAGGACGACGCUAUGAUGAACGGCAGCGCGAUUAUUCCGCCCACGUACCCGUCACGGGACGUGCAGAAUGUCGAGAAUCACCGCGCCGUCGCUGCCGUAGCCGAGCUCGCGGAAAAUGGCCUGACCAUCGCCGACAACUUCGUCACGUACGCGGAAGGCCGCCUGCCACCGCUGGCGGUCAACGGCGAGCGCAUUUCGGAAGCCGUCGCGAAGCUGCAUGAGCGCUACCGUCACGAGCGCGCUGCUGGCUGGGAUGAGGCGCGCUUCAUGGGGGAGUGCGAACAGCGCGUGACCCCGGAGGAGAUCGAAGACCUGUGCACGCGUCCGGCACUGGACGCGAGCGCCUUCGAAAACACCUUGUACCAGCUGACCGACAAGGAUCUGCCGCGGGGUCGCUACCUCGUGUUGAAGGACAGUCUUAACGCCAUCAAGCCGCAUGCCCCCAAAAGCUCCGUCGUCAACCUUCCCGAGACACUGGCGGCGCUGCAUGAAAUCCAACAUGUGGACCCCACCGAGGAGAUCAAGGAUGAGCUGUCGGAGAUGGAUACGCAGCAACACAAGUACACGGCGCAGGUGGACGAGGCCCAGGCCGUCUACGACACCGCCCUCAGCCACGGCGACGUCGUGGAGGUGGAGCGGGCCCACCGCCACCUCAUCGCGGCUCGCUACGAGUACCUCGUCUCCUACGUGAAGCGCCUCCAUUUUCUCAGCUCCACAGAGGAGGACAGCGAAGUGGUGCACUUUGGUGAGCGCCUGCAGAGGCUGCGCGAGGACGCCGAGGAUGCCGUGAAGGCCUUCAGCGACGACAAGCAUGCCAUCAAGUCUGCAGUAAGGGCGGAUCUGGAGAGGUGCGAAGAGUCGCGCGCGCGCGAGGCCGCCACGCACGAGGCGGCGAAGGCUGCCUUCCAGCAUCAGAAGCAGAAGAUGGAGGCGUCGCUCAGCUCCGUUGUGGAGCAUAAGGUGCAGUUAGUGAACGAAAUACUAGAGAAAGCGGCGGAGCUGCGGAAGGUGAUGGAGCAGCAGCGGGCCAUGACGCAGGAUGUGGUGAAGGCCGUCCAGGAAGAGGCGAAGCGCGUGACGGCGCACGAGGAGUUCGUCACUAUAGGGGACCAGCACCUGCAGCGGCUGCGGCGGUGCCUUGAGUACUGCCAUGGAUGCGAGCCUGUAAUCCGUGAGAUGGAGAAGUACGUAAAGAACAUGGUGGAAAAGCUGCCCCAGGAGGACGCGGAGAAGGCUCUCAACUCGAUCAUUGACCACGAGGCUGACGAGUUCCUCAAGGCAUACCGGGCGUUUGUGUUCGUGUGUGGAGAGCUCACCGUGAAGAAGACGCACCGCCUCGACACGCUGGAGCGCCAGGCCCGGCUUGCGCAGCAUAACCGAGACAGCUCCAUGGACAGUCUCGACCCCAACUACAAGCACUACCGCGAGGAACUGGCGGAGGUGCUGGCGCAGGCGCAGGCGGUGGAGGGUGUCAUUAACGCCCUGCACGCCACGCAGGACGCCGGUGAACAGGUGUUCGAGUCUGUCGAGGAGCUAGUGCUGACCUCGUGUGAGCGCGCCGAGAAGCCGUUCGUGCACCCGCUGCAGGAGUUCGGCCACGAGUCCGUCGCGGCCCGCACCCGCUUCGUGAAUCGCUCGAUGAAGUACGUCGAAGGUGAAGAACAGGAGGUCUUCCAGAAGAAGGCACGCAUCGCGGAGGCCAAGGCUCUCGUGGAGCAGGAGCAGGAGGCGCUGGAGCGCGGUGUCAGCGCGGCUGCCAUCGCCGCCCCUGUGGCAGCUUCACUAAAUGCGGCGGACGGCACCGUCCCUGCGCCGGCGCAGAUCGAGGCGUAAGUGCGCCGGCCGGUCUACAGAUGAUGUACAGACACGGUGAUGCGGCGCACAGCGCUACACCCUUUCAUUUGUUUCGCUUAUGAAAGCUGGAUGCCUCCCCCACCCCACCCCUUCCCCGGAAAACUUCGCGAUAUGGCGGCCGUUAGCCUACACACACUUCUCUGGGUCACUCAUCAUUGUGCUGUCUCGUGCGCUCCUCUUCGGCAUUUCGCUCUCUCAGGCACCUGCCCGUCGGCGGAGUCUCUGCGAAGUGAGAGUAGUAGACGGGUGGAUCGGCGGAGGCGAGACUGCGGCGGGGAAUGCGCACGUGAAUGAAGCAGUGACUGCGGCGUACGCGCUGUGCGUGUAUCUUAUCUUCCUCUGGUAGUGGCGAUCGGUGUCCAUCGCGCGCCGCCGCCCCCACCGCCCCCUGCACCUCUCACGCCUUGUGGCCGUUUUGGGGUGUUCUAUGUAAACUUACAAGCGCCCUUGGCUUUGUUUUUUUUUUGCGCACGUGUGUAACGCCAUUGGUCACGCGUGCGAGAGAGGGGUAAGGAGAGAGAGACUGGGUGUUGCGGAGGAGGGGAUGGAACACGGUGCAGCGUGGGUUGCACCAAACUCAUCCGGCUCCUCCACGAAGGGGCUCACCAUGCCGUGCCUCCUCCUCAAUGGCUUGAGUGUCUCCCAUGUGGCCCUCAGCCUCACCCUUCCCCACCCCCCCCUCAUACACACACGCACACCCGCUCCCUCUCUCGCAGGCCCAACUAUUCGGUUGAUCAUACAGCUGCUGCGUGCAUCACUGCGUCAUCUUUUCCCUUCCUUCUACUCAAUGUAAAUUUCAUGUUAGCCCUUCGUUUCUUGUGUGGCUUGUGUGCGCUUGCUCGAGCCCCCCAUCGUGGAAUGGUGCCGACGUAUUGGCUUCUCGCGUUGCUGACGUUAUACGUGCGGUGAGCGUUCUGCUGCCCCCCCUCCACCCCGCACACUCUACCCGCCUUCGCAGUGAUUUCUCAUUUCCCUAUAGCCUUCCCCUUGACUUUCCCGGCACUCCCCACCGUUGCCGCGUGCGAGAGGCGGGCAACGAGUGGAAGGAAUGGGUCGCUGAGGAAAGAUGGGUCACUGACGACGACGGGCAAGGGUGGGGGGGGCACCACAGCUAGCAACGCAUCCACGCAUAAACGCGCACAAGCUCCCUAAAAGAGUCGCAGUCCUUUAGAACAACAAUACCGAUACCGUCGAUGCAAGGUCUGUGCUCAGGAGGCAGGCGCACAGAGCCGACCACGACGGUGCCAAACCUCUGUUACUCCCCUCUUGCACUUCAUUACAGCUAAUUGUAGCAUUGGUGCAUGAGGGGCGAGGGAGGAGCUGAGGCAGACGAGGGCACGCGGUGCAAAGACAGCUUCAUCCUCGGAGAUGCGUGGAGUGGCGUAGCUGAAAGGGAAGCGCAGGCUGUACUGCAGACAAGCGGGAGCUGAGAAAUGGGGGGGAGUGCGACAGCGUGUGUACGUGGAAGUACUCUUAUCCCUCCCCUCUGCCAUCACCCCCCCCCCUUCCCUUCUUCCUUCGCUCCCGUCGUUGCUGCCAUCCGACCUCCCUCAUCCACGUCGCCCCCGACCGCCUUCCCGUUUUCACGGGCGACGGGGUUGGCGGCCUCUGUCUGUCACCCGUGUGCCAUGUCAUCGGAGUGUUGUCGUCAUAACCGCUCGUCAUCCCGACCUUCUUUCUUCCUUUUUACAUCUUUUUCGCUCUCUCCGCAUGAUGUGCGCGGCCACCGGGAG